rnacentral:rRNA from 1 species
UACGUUCCCGGGCCUUGUACACACCGCCCGUCACACCACGAAAGUCGGCAACACCCGAAGCCGGUGGCCUAACCCCUUGUGGGAGGGGACCGUCGAAGGUGGGGUUGAUGAUUGGGGUG